rnacentral:rRNA from 1 species
AACGAACGCUGGCGGCGGGCCUCAUACAUGCAAGUCGAGCGCGAAAGUCCGCAAGGAUGAGUAAAGCGGCGCACGGGUGAGUAACACGUGGGUAAUCUACCUUUUGGAUUGGAAUAACCUGUCGAAAGACGGGCUAAUGCCGAGUAAGCCUUCUUGAACGUGAAGUUCGAGACGGGAAAGAUGGCGCAAGCUAUCGCCGAAAGAUGAGCCUGCGUCCCAUUAGUUAGUUGGUGGGGUAAUGGCUUACCAAGACAAUGAUGGGUACCUGGUUUGAGAGAAUGAUCAGGCACACUGGAACUGAAACACGGUCCAGACUCCUACGGGAGGCAGCAGUAGGGAAUAUUGCGCAAUGGACGAAAGUCUGACGCAGCCACGCCGCGUGAGUGAGGAAGGCCUUCGGUUGUAAAGACUCUGUCGGCUGGG